CUUAAAGAGCGUGACUGAGUGCCGUGAAGGUGCACCACAACAGAGAGAAAAAACCUAUAGCAUAUUCUUAUAAUUAGGUUUGGAUCUGUCAGCUUUUAUGGAGACAGAAGUAAAGUUAAUAUUUCAGUGCAGAGUGAGAUUAUUGCCAGUGGACAAAGAAAUACACACUGGGUGAUCGUACGAUGACAGACCCAUCCUGUGUGGGUGGAUAAAGCUUUUGUUUGCAAAUAAAGGCUUAUAUUUCUCGAAGAAUCUUCUGCAUCUCCUGGUUAUUUCAAGAAAUCAUGACAAAAUUGGCGAUCAUGGCAGGACCAGAAAGAGACCCGCGGAAAGGAAACUGCAGAUUGGGGACACUUCCCAGUCCUCUAGGGACCCCCACAAGGCUAACAGAAUUAAGGGUGCACCCAAACAAAAAGUAAGCACUUUUUGCGACAAUUUGGACUAAGAAUUCUGUUGGUUUUGGGGAGGUCUCAGGGACUCAGAAGUGUGGAACCGCUACCGAAGGGUCUCUUCGGUACAAAGAACCUGGCAGAAUUGGGGGUUAACAGGAGGCCCAGAGGAUUGAUGAGAACACUGCAGCGGGGGUAAGUACGAAUAAGCUAAUCAGAAGUUAAGUGAAGAAAAAUUCCAUGUGGUGUUGGUAAGUCCCUGUGGAUACCGCUUCAUACGAAACGAAGGUCUGAACGGGCAGGGAAAGGAAAAAUAGAAAAAUCCUCGUGAAUACCGCCUUAAGAGAUAAGGGUCUGAAUAGACGAGGUGCAAAGAGAAAAUUCUGUGGAUACCGCCCUAGUUAGGGGUCUGCACAGACAGAACAAAAUAGGAAACAAGGACAGUCCGAUAAAUAGUUUAAAGCGCUGGUAGAUAGACUAGACAUAAGAAUUAGAGUAAAUAGUAUUAUUCAGUAAACGAACUGUGAGUCUCUGAAAAUACAUUAAAGAGAGAACAACAUGACAGAUAAAGGAAUGACAGUAGAGAUUCUGAGUAAAAAAUUCCCGGUAAGUAAAAGUGAGAUCACAAAAACUUCAGAAAAAUGAGAAAAAAGUACCAAGAACCUGGUCACAAAAUGGCCAAGAGAAGGAACGUUUGAUGUAAGCUUGUGCGAAGAAAUGGAGGCGCUAAUUAAAAAUUACAAACCAAAAGAUAAAUCUAAGAAAAGAGAGCAAAAAAGAGAACAAGAAAUGGAAGUGCUAAAACUCUUCAGAACGGAGGAAGAGAGGCUGAGGAGGAUAGCUAGGAUAUUGAUUACAAGCGAGGAAGACACUAAGCUGCUGGAGAAACAGCCUGUUAGAGAGAGGAAGGUACAGAGAAGCUGGCUUCAGCUCCAUACCUGGAUGUGUAAGAAGCAGAAAGGCCCCCUCCCUAUUAUGAGGAAGGAAUCCCUAAGCAGUGCCCCAUGCUGACGGGUACAGUAAACGUGCAGGGAGAAGUACAAGUUUGGGAUAAUGAGGAGGAAAAAAGACAAUACGAGAAGAAAAAAGUGGCGAUAUGGAAGGAGAUACAUGCAAAGAGAAAAAUGAGAGAAGAGAUUGAACAGAUGAAAUACUUGAGAGAGGAAAAGGAGUAUGAGGAGUACCCCUUAUACCAUAGAAAUGAACAGACUAGAAAGGAAAGUGGCUUAUCAGGGCAGGAAGAACUAAGGGAAGAAGAGGACCCCGGAGAAAUUUGUGUGGGAGGCAGUAAAGACAUACCCAGAGACGGAUGGGGAAUCAGGUGAGGAGGAGAGCCAGGGCAGGUGGGAAGAAGGAGGAAGAAUGAUGCCGUUGUUAGUAAAAGGAUCAGGACGUGCAGUAUAUCCCUUGGGGAUCCCAGGACCUAAAAGGGCUGAAAAACACUCCGCCUAAUCUACAUGAAGGAGCAGGGAAAUGGAUUACAGCCCUUGAAGAAGAAACGGCGGGACGAUUAUUGGCUAUGGGAGAUUUGAAGGCACUAUUGAUAAGGUUGAUGGGAACCUUCAAAUUUAAUGAACUAAUGGAAAUGGCUGGCAUAAUAAACCCGAACGACCCGAGAAUUGACGGAGACGGGUUUGACAGAGUGAGGCAGAGGGUAUGGCAGGCCCUCAGGAAGAUUUAUCCACCCAAAGUGGACCCCAAAGCCUUAAAGGGGGAUCCACUGGGAGACACUGAAAACCCAGCAGCCUACGUAGAAAACCAGUUGAAAAGGUGGAGACUGGAGACUGAGCAAGAGGUGGAAAAUAGCUUAUUUAUCACCACACUGUUCCGACAUAGCAUUUUGGAUGCAAUGCCUCCGCAAGUAAAAUCCAAACUGGAGGAAGUGGUUGGGCUGACGUCAAUGACCUCACAAGAAUUCAGGGACCACUUAGUCCAUGCGGUUGAGAAAUACCGGAAAGUCAAACGAAGGUUGGCUGAGCAGCAAGAAGAGGUGCAAAGAAAGUUAAUACAAAUGCAGCUCAAAGAACUCAAAAAGAAGGAAAAAGAGAAAAGCAAAAAGAUGCUGCCAGCAACCACCAGUCCGAGUACAGCCAUCGAACUGGAUGAAGCACCGCUAUAUGGAGGAACCCAUCAUACUGUAAGACAAGGGCCAGAAAACCCCUCGCCAAUAAUCAACGUCUUUGGAGGAGCCCUAUCAGGAACAAACUAAAUUCAAACAGCCCAGACAGGACUGGAAGUCCCAAGGAGGGGGACAGAGGAGCUAUGGGCAGAGGAGACCAAUAACGAAACAGGGGCAAAGAGAGAUAGAGAGAUUGUGCUGGGGAUGUAAUCAGCCAGGUCAUAUGAGAAGAGACUGUCCGUUUACACCAUGGCCUGUCACACACCAGCAGGAACGGAUAAGAAGGGAACUACUGUUUAGCCAAGGAUCAGCCCCCACAGGCCCAAGCGGACCUGUGAACCCCUACGCAAGCUAUUGGGGUGCCCCAAGAACUCGAGAGGGAAAGGACAUUACCCAAUGAUAACAAGGGAAGCAGAAGAGGAACCCAUUGUUCAGGUAAUGUUAGAAGGGCAACUGACGCCAAUGAUGAUAGAUACUGGAGCCACGUACACUUGUGUACAUCCACAGUAUGCCCUUCACCUUCCCAUGUCAGGAAAGUUUAUUAAGACAGUAGGGUUCGCGGGGAAAACACAGUUGACACAGUGCACGGCUCCAGUGCAGUUGAGAAUGGGAAAUAAAGGAAUUGUUUUGCCAGUGCUAGUAUCUAAAGGAACUCUGAUUAAUUUGUUGGGCUGAGUGUGGAAAGAGCAGGGGCUCAAUUGAUAGUGCAAGAAGACAAGAAGGCUAAUGUCUUUUGGAUAGGAGACAUAACAGAUCAGAUUCAGGAAACCUGAGAAAAAUGGAAAAAGGGCGUGCAGGCUAUAUUACCCAGGGCUGUAAUGCCCAAAUCUGAGCUACAUUGUACAGUGAUUUUUGACGAGACUCAGAACAGGGAGUUAGAGGAGAGAUAGCACGUGGAGGCAUGUACCCAACAGCACCUGGAAGGGGAGGCUGUGAUAAUUGGAAAGCAAGGGGCAACUUUACAAGUUAAGUGGAACACCUUUUUAGAAAAAUGGUACAGGAUACCAGAGGCUGCACCCCACGUAACGCUGUUGGUAAACAAGGGAUAUCAGUCUAAAGACUUAGGACCCUUAGUUAAGAGUGCUAAAACCGUAACAGUGUGGAGGAAAAUCACGCCGGAGGUGUGGAUAUCAGAAGGCCAGAAUUGCAUUAAAAUAAUGGUAAGUGUAGAUAUGGUAGGGACAAUGAAAGAGGUCAAAAUAAUUCCCCAACCACACAUGCCAUUGCUGGGAAAGGAGAGAGGCCAGCAGAAAGAUAGAAGGUUAGAUGAGUUGCCAUCUAUUCUGUGGUCGCAGCAUGACACAGACGUAAGGAAAAUAAAAACAUCUAGUCUGGUGGAAAUAAGGCUGAAAAAAGGGAGCAAUUCCACCCGGAGACCACAAUACCCUCUAAGACCAGAAGCAGAAGAGGGAAUAGCAUCAACAGUGCAGGGGUUGCUUGAAGCAGGAGUGCUUAAAAGAACAAACAGUCCAUGCAAUACCCCGUUGCUACUGGUCUUAAAAGCAGAUAAAUCUAAAUGGAGAUUGAUGCAGGAUUUGAGAGCGGUAAAUGACAUGGUGGAGGACUAACCAGCGGUAGUCCCCAACCCACACACACUUUUGACUAAUGUUCCGCCAGAAGCAAGUUACUUUUCAGUGAUUGAUUUGUGUUCGGCUUUCUUCAGCAUUCCUGUGGCCGACCAGUGUCAGUAUCUGUUUGCAUUUACUUACAGAGGUGCUCAGUAUACCUAUACCAGAAUGCCACAAGGGUUAAAGCAUUCACCACAUGUUUGAAAUCAGGUGUUAAAGGCAGACCUAGAUAGAGGGCAUACCAUUGGGAAGUACAUUGUUACAGUAUGUGGAUGACCUGUUGAUUUGCUCCCACAGCAAGGAACAGUGUGAGCAGGACACAAUAACUCUGUUAAAGAAGCUGGCGCACGGAGGACAUAAAUAGUGCGCGCUGCAACCAAAAAAUUUCUGAUGCUCGUGGCCAUUACUGAACCAAGCUUAGUGGAGAAAGAAGCACUGAAGAAGUAUUGUUACAGCCUACAACGUCUGCAGGAUGAACAAGAGCAAAACAACAGUGUGGGAGUAGAUUGUAAGGGCUACUGAGUUUUUUUUCGCUGUCUCAGAUACAAAGGGACAGGUUUUUGACUCAGCGGCCUAGGAUAACAGGGAGAGAACACUUUGAGGUCUUGGCGCAGAAAAUUAUAGUUUAACCCGAAAUUUGGGAAUAAGUGCUGGACUUUAUUGGGGCUUUUGUGCACUGACUCUUAGUCUUCUUUCUCUGUGUGAGACCCUAUGGGUCUCAAAGGGGAGAUUAUAUUGGAGAAUAAAGUUGCAACAUUUGCUGUGUGGCCAGAACUAUGUGGCCAGCCUUGUGUUUGCUAUUUGCUAUGUAUCCAAUUUAUUGGCCAGAAUAUGAUCUCUGUAUUGUCUCUGUACUAUUGAACGCAUCGGUGCCUUAAGAAUGUAGCUAACAGUGAAAGCAAGCAUGUAGCGAUAACGGUGGUAGACAGGAUCGUGGAGUGGUGUGAUGGUAUGGGGACCAGUCAAGGCCGGGAAGGGGGACAUGUGUUCCAGGGAGUAGACUAGAGCAAGUAUGGGCUAUGGAGUGGUGUGAUGAUAUGGGGACCAGUCAAGGCCGGGAAGGGGGACAUGUGUUCCAAGGAGGUGACUAGAGCAAGUAUAAGCUACAGAACAAAAUAUUGGUGGCGAAUCAAGAAGCUAAUGUGCUGGUGAUUAGCAUUGCAAGCGGAUAGGGUAUGCUAAUGUAACUGAGAUAGGAGAUGGGGCAUGCUAAUGAAACUAAGAUAAGAAAUUACUGUAAAAAACACUGUGUACUAGGCUCGGCAGGCAAUUAGGGACACGUUCAUUAAUUGUCUCAGCUUUUGUUUGCAAAUAAAGGCUUAAAUUUCUUGAAGAAUCUUCUGCGUCUCCUGGUUAUUUCAAGAAACCACAAC